ACACACAUACACGUAGUAUAAGUAAUAUAGGUACACAUAUAAGUAGUAUACUCUUUAUACACAUAUAAAGUAGUCUGAUCGUAGAUGCAAAUAUUUUGCCGCCAAUCGUCAUUAUGUUAAUCCCCUAAAUUAUUCUCGUCUAAGAAUGAGGCUUACAGUUCAAUGAGCAAGGAAAGUUGUGUGAGUGUACCAGAUUUUUUAAUAAUGUAGAAAUAUGAUCAAUCAGAAAAAUAUUCAAUCUCAAUUAUAAUUUUUUUGAUUUAAUUAUUGAAGAAAUAUUUUCUUGGCAAAUAAAAUAUAAUUGAUUAUUUUAAACACGAACAGUUAAAAUAUUACAACAGAUAUACCAGUAUCAGCUAUCUAUCCUCUAUGGAAGGCAGUGGCAUUGCAGAGAAUCGGCAACGCCGUACUCCUAUCUUUCUUCACCGCCAUUAUAACGUGGACCUCACUAUAGACCGUUUGUGGGUUUGUUCUACGAUGAAUUUCGAUUGCUUUUAUCAAUGUACUUCAAAUUCCCAACACAAUGGACUAUUUUUAUCUAGAAAACAGUCAUCACCUCGCCUUGUGAUUCAAAAUAUCAAUGUGUAUAACAAAAUAUUAUAGAUGUGCACUUGAGAAAAAUUUCUGUACUUGUUGUUAAAAGCAAUUCCCUUUUAACCAUGCAACAUCUGUAACAAAUAAUAACCCCUAUGUGGUGGCAAAAUUUCAUCUGCCUUCAUAUUUAUAGAAUUUCUCAUUAAAAUUUGUAUUACCUUAUGUUUUCAGAUUCUAUAAAAAAAUCUUGUGGGUCGACUGUGGGCAUUGAGACCCAAAUUGAAGACGCUAUUAAGGAUUGGCUAAAAUAUGCGACAGUCAGAGUAUUUUCAGUGGAGAAAAAAAACAAUCUAAUUUUGUUGGUACAUUUUAAGAUAGUCAAUGAGAGUCACAGCGAGCAGAUGGGUGGAAAAAGUUAAAACCCAAUUCUGUUCCAGCCAUAUUUAAUAUGCCCAACCCACCAAAAAUGUUGUCUACGCCAACACGACAAUCUCACUACAAGGUAAUUAUUGAUAGAUAUUUCACCCAUUAGAAUUAUGAAUGGAAAUCUAACAUUGUAUUGCAAUGCAAUAGCAAACUUAUCAUUAUUUCAAGUAAAUUUUAAAAUAAUUAUUAAUCUCUUUGAGGUUGAUGGCCAUUACACAUAUAAAAAAUUAUUCGAUUUUAAAUAAAAUAGGCUAUCUCAAAGUAAACGUAGUUAAUUGUAUAAUCCAUGUAAAUUCAGUAUUCAUUUGUAAUUCUUCAUUUAUUCAUGUCAAAAAAUGAGAUUAGAGUAAUAGCAGCCAACUGACUAUUUCUAGGUGUUAGGAAUAGCUUAGGUUUGUUAAGAGUGUCACACAGCAUAGAGUCUCGUCUUUCCAUGCUCUUUUCAACUAUCAGAGACUACUAGGUGUUAUUUUAAGUUGUGUACAUAGAAUUGAGAAUACCCUUUUUCCUGAUUUAU